CUUAGCCUAUUAUUUACGAAAAUGCAGGAUAAAUUUGACUUGGAUUUGAGUAUUCUGCACAUCUCCCAUGUCGUCGACGACAUGAUUAAGGAGUGGUUCAAGGAUUACCGCAGUAAGUUACACAAGCGGUACAAGGGGUGCGCGAGCUACGAGGAGGCCAUACAGUCCACACCAGCACACGUGACCGAUGAGGACUAGCGGAUACUCUGCGAUAGGUUUUUGUCUGAUUCUUUUCAGGUAAUAUUUAAAUAUUUACGAUAUCUUAACGUAAUAAUUAAAUUCGUAAUUAAUAACAAUGUAUUAUGAAUAAUGUAUUCAGAAGAGGAGCAAAAUAAAUUCUGACAACAGGGGAAAGUUAGAAGUGAAUCAUGUAGCUGGUUUAAAGUCAUUUGUAUGACUUCGUCACGACAUGUGAGAUUCCGUCACUAGCCAGGAGCCCAGACCAGUAGACUUCUACAGAGGGGCUCACUGUCGGCAGGCGAUGGGAUCUUUGGUACAUCCUAGAGCCAGCGAGAUUUGGGAGGAGAUGGACACCUUACGUAGUCAGCCCACUCCUGAUGGAACUCAGCAGAGUGAGCCAGAGAUCUUGAGUCAGGUACUUGGCACCCGUUUUGGAUAUGUGCGUGGGCUUGGCCAUGGUGCCAAGCUCAUGGCACCCGCGAGAGCUGCCUCCAGCCGAUCCAUCGUCGUUGGUAACAGCGCCGUACGUCGAGCUGAUACUGCAGAG